GAAACAGGCAGAAAGAGUAACGCCGGCCUGUCACGCCGGAGGCCGAGGGUUCGAGUCCCUUCGGCUCCGCCA
rnacentral:tRNA from 1 species